UCUGUGAAGCAUUCAAAUCAAAGCUAAAAGCCUAAAUGUGAAAUGCUAAUGACAAGCCUGAGAAGAAGACAGGUGACAUUUGUAUCUAUGAUAAAAUUUUUAUACAGAACUUACUGCUUCAAACUGAAUCCCAUCAAAAAAAAUUAGUUUCUAUUGUAUUAAUAACUCAGAACGAAUUAUCACCUUGAAAAUUUGCUUUCCCACACUAAGGUAAGUUCAGGCUAGAUUCAACACUCCAUAAGUUUUUUAACUAAAUACUGUUUUUAAAUUAGAAGUGAUGGCAGUUUUAUAAAAAGAGAAUAUAUUUCCACGGAUGCAUUUACUGUGCUAAAACAAAGUCUUAAGAAAAGCAAGUAGACACCUUCAUAACUAUGAAUGAGGCUGCUGAGGAUUCUCCAUGUCAGUCAGUGAAUAUAAGAAGUGCAGUAUUCAAGUGUUGUAAACAGCUACUCAGUGCAAUGAAUAGCCUGAGUCCAUCCAGAAUGGCUGUAACCAAUCUGACAUCACGUUAUGGAUCAAUACACAAUGAAAAACCAAAGAACCACCGUCUUAUUCUUAACUUUUAUAAACCAUGUUUUAUGGGUAACUUUUUAGUUUUCCCAAAAGGCUGAUAAAUUUCAGUAUUUUGAAUAUGUCAUUGUUAAUUUUGAGCUGGCAGAAGUAAACUAACCAACCACCAUUAUGUUUUAGUCCUAAGGGAUAUACCUUUCAAUAAAGUUACUGAAAU